rnacentral:rRNA from 1 species
ACGGGUGAGUAAUAUAUCGGAACGUGCCCAGUUGUGGGGGAUAGCCCGGCGAAAGCCGGAUUAAUACCGCAUACGACCUGAGGGUGAAAGCGGGGGAUCGCAAGACCUCGCGCAAUUGGAGCGGCCGAUAUCAGAUUAGCUAGUUGGUGGGGUAAAGGCCUACCAAGGCGACGAUCUGUAGCUGGUCUGAGAGGACGACCAGCCACACUGGGACUGAGACACGGCCCAGACUCCUACGGGAGGCAGCAGUGGGGAAUUUUGGACAAUGGGCGCAAGCCUGAUCCAGCCAUGCCGCGUGCGGGAAGAAGGCCUUCGGGUUGUAAACCGCUUUUGUCAGGGAAGAAACGGUCUGACCUAAUACGUUGGACUAAUGACGGUACCUGAAGAAUAAGCACCGGCUAACUACGUGCCAGCAGCCGCGGUAAUACGUAGGGUGCAAGCGUUAAUCGGAAUUACUGGGCGUAAAGCGUGCGCAGGCGGCUAUGCAAGACAGAUGUGAAAUCCCCGGGCUCAACCUGGGAACUGCAUUUGUGACUGCAUGGCUAGAGUACGGUAGAGGGGGAUGGAAUUCCGCGUGUAGCA